GGGUGGGCAGCCAUUGUUGCAGUGGGGGUGGAGCUGUGCAAGAAGAGUUGUGAGAAGACACCAUUACUGAGUAGAGUCUGGCAUCCAUACUAAGGUGGGCAGCCGUCUUGAGGACUUGAAGCUCGAAGUUCAGAAGUUCGAAAGCCGUCAUAUGAAGACUUUCAUAGUAUGUUUUGGUGGUCUCAGAUUCAUGAUAAACAUUUUAUUUUGUGUAUAUUGGGGCAGUAGUGCCUUGGGAAAAUUGUAAUAACUUUUAAUAAUGAAUGAAUGAGAUGCCUGUUCUUUUGGA